UGUGCUUUUCUUCCAUUGUAAUUUGCUCCAUACGCAGGAUCAGCCCCAGCAUACUCAAAGCCCUAUGCCGAUAGCAUUCCUGAAGUCCCGUCUAGUAAAGACGUCUAUGAAGCGGUGUGCAUCAGGAAGUGUCGGCCUCCCUUGCCGAAACAUUGGCUGGAAAAUGAGGUGCUGAGUGUCAUUCAUCGUAUCAUCAACACGUCCUGGAAGGAACACGGCCAGAAACGCUUCUCGGCCAAUCGAAUCUGGUGCAAUAUCCAAGCCCUGGAGACUGUGAAAAUAAAACGGACAAACAGCCGCGUGACUGCAUUGUGAAACGGAAUGACUGCACACACACACACACACACACACACACACACACACACACACACACACACACACACACACACACACACACACCUCAGACCUCAGACAUGCCCAUCGCGGAAGCGAUGAUAGCGAACAGCUAUGUUAGACAUAGCAACUUGUGCUGGGAUUACACCAUUCAACAGCUUGCAAGGCUGACACACACACACACACACGCACACACACACACACACACACACACACACACACACACACACACACGCGCACACACACACACACCUUGCCCCUUUCUGAGCAAGGCAAAUCCCCACCAAAAUUAACUGAUUGAUGAAAGCAUGCUUGACUUGAAUGUCACGGCGUGUUCGCAGUAGCGGUAGAUGCAGGCUUGUAUAACCCUUACCAAAACUGGUCACAGCGGCACCGAUCAGGAGAAAGAGAAUCAUAGGAGAGAUCUGAAUGUUGUAACAUGACUGUUGGAACGUUCUCCGUUUGUUAGUGUUUGUCUUCGUUUUACAUUGUAUAUGACUCAGUAUGUCAUAAUUGGGCACUGUUCCAAUAUUCUUACCUUGUGCUUUUUUUCUUCUUUUUUUUACUUGAAACCACGCACCCAAUUCGUAAAAGAAGAAAGAAGCAGGAAAUGACAAAACAACAGACUAACAAGA